rnacentral:rRNA from 1 species
GACGAACGCUGGCGGCAUGCCUAAUACAUGCAAGUCGAACGAUCACUUCGGUGGUAGUGGCGCACGGGUGCGUAACGCGUGGGAAUCCGCCCUUGGGUUCGGAAUAACGUCGGGAAACUGACGCUAAUACCGGAUGAUGACGUAAGUCCAAAGAUUUAUCGCCCAGGGAUGAGCCCGCGUAGGAUUAGCUAGUUGGUGGGGUAAAGGCCUACCAAGGCGACGAUCCUUAGCUGGGCUGAGAGGAUGAUCAGCCACACUGGGACUGAGACACGGCCCAGACUCCUACGGGAGGCAGCAGUAGGGAAUAUUGGACAAUGGGGGCAACCCUGAUCCAGCAAUGCCGCGUGAGUGAUGAAGGCCUUAGGGUUGUAAAGCUCUUUUACCCGGGAUGAUAAUGACAGUACCGGGAGAAUAAGCCCCGGCUAACUCCGUGCCAGCCGCCGCAGUAA